rnacentral:tRNA from 1 species
GCCCGGGUGGCGGAAUUGGUAGACGCUGUGGACUUAAAAUCCAUUGCCCGUGAGGGCGUGCGGGUUCAAGUCCCGCCCCGGGCACCA